UACGUAGGGUGCAAGCGUUGUCCGGAAUUAUUGGGCGUAAAGAGCUCGUAGGCGGUCUGUCGCGUCGGCUGUGAAAACUCGGGGCUCAACUCCGAGCUUGCAGUCGAUACGAGCAAACUAGAGUGUUGCAGGGGAGACUGGAAUUCCUGGUGUAGCGGUUGAAAUGCGCAGAUAUCAGGAGGAACACCGGUGGCGAAGGCGGGUCUCUGGGCAACAACUGACGCUGAGGAGCGAAAGCGUGGGGAGCGAACAGG
rnacentral:rRNA from 1 species